rnacentral:rRNA from 1 species
UACGAAGGGGGCUAGCGUUGCUCGGAAUCACUGGGCGUAAAGCGCACGUAGGCGGCUUCUUAAGUCAGGGGUGAAAUCCUGGAGCUCAACUCCAGAACUGCCUUUGAUACUGAGGAGCUUGAGUCCGGGAGAGGUGAGUGGAACUCCGAGUGUAGAGGUGAAAUUCGUAGAUAUUCGGAAGAACACCAGUGGCGAAGGCGGCUCACUGGCCCGGUACUGACGCUGAGGUGCGAAAGCGUGGGGAGCGAACAGG